ensembl:snoRNA
AUCCUUUUGUAGUUCAUUAGCAUGAUGACUGGGUUUCAUGCACAUGUGUGAGAUUUGCCACCCUGAGACCUCACCACAUUACCCAUCUGAUG